CUUGACAGACUGGAUGUGAGAUGUGGCAGAGAGAGAAGAUUCAUAGCUAACUCUAAGACUUUUGACCUGAGCAGAUGAAAGGAUGCAGUUACCAUGAAGGCUGCAGAUGAGGUAGGUUAGAAAAGUAAGAUCUGGAAUUCUCUAUGAGAUCUAUUCAGUUUGAGAUACCCAGUAGAUAUUCGAGUGGAGAUGUUGACUAGAUAGUUAGAUAUGUGAGUCAGGAGUUCAAGAGAGAGGCUUGAGUUGGAGAAAUACAUUUAUGAGUUUUCAGAUUAGAGGUGGCAUUUAUGGCCCAGGAAACAGAUGAGAUUUUUAAGAAAGUGAGUGUGGAGAGAGAAGAAAAACAGGCUCAGGACAGAGCCUGGGCAUUCCAACACUGAGAGGUUAGACAGUAAAGGCCAAAUCAGCCAGAUACUGAGAAGAAACAGAAGAAAACCAAGAGGGUAUGCUGUCCUGGCAACCAAGUGUAGAGGGUGCAACCAGGAGGAGGGAAUGAUCCGUGUCAUAAAAUGCUGCUGGUCAGGCUGUGCAAGCAUGACACCAGCAUCUGCUCCACUUCUGAUGAGGCCUCAUGAAAGAAGAUGAAGAGGGAGCCGGCUUAUCACAGGGCAAGAGCAGGAGCAACAGAGAUGGGGAGACGUGCCAAGCUGUUUUAAACAACUAGGUCUCUCAUGAACUACCAGAGCGAGAACACACUCAUCACCAAGGUGAUGGUGCUAAGCCAUGCAUGAGGGAUCCAUGCCUGUGAUCCAAACACCUCCUACCAGUCCCCACCUCCAACAAUGGGAUUACAUUUCAACAUGAGAUUUGAGGGUAGCAAAUAUCCAAACUAUAACAUCCUCUCCAAAUUUCCUCAUGCUCAUUUUUAAUUCCUCUCACCCACCUGUCCCCCUGCCCUCAUCUCUUGGAAACCACUGUUCUGCUUUCUGUCACUGUUGAGACAGAUAGGCGGGUUGGUUCCGUUUUAAUGUGGUCUGGAGGAAAAGAACAAAAGCCCCUUAAGCUUAAGUGCUAGCUUACCUCUCAGCCAAUUAGUAACAAAACGCCUAAGAAACUGUUAAAAACAACUUCCUCCCUCAGGGAGCUAGGGACUUCCCCAGGGCUCUGCAUGUGCAGUUAGACAUCAUCUCCAACCUACAGUUACCCCUUCCUCAUUUCAGUGCUAACAAUCACACCCAGGGCAUGAAGAUUUAAAAUGCUAAUGCUACAUAGGAUGUAUGAAGAAGCAUGUAGAGCCACUGUGCAAGUGCUAGAAAAAACCCUCCCAUACAUGCCCUGACCCAACCCUUCCCUAGAGAGAGACUCAUUAAAACUAAUCCACACGCUACCCUCAGGAGGCAGCCCAUUCCUUUUGCUUUCAUGGUGCUGGCUUCUUGUGCACAAGCUGAAUAAAGUUUCCUUUGCUGCUA